AAAAAAAAAAAAAAAAAAAAAAAAAGCUCUAUAUUAUUUUUUAUUUUUUUAAAUAAAAGUGAUUUUAAAAAUGAAUAGAAUAAAUUAAUGAGAGUUGCUACCUUACAUGUACCCACCAGACCUACCCUUAAAGGAAUUUAAAUAGGGAACCUCUAUGUUACAUUGAAUGUACCAUACACAAUCAAUAAGAACCACAUAAAUUAUAGGACCCACAUAAUUAUGUGAUUUUUAUUAAUUGUGUAUGAUACAUUCAAUGUAACAUAACAAAAUCCAUUUAAAUAUCAGUACUCCCAUAAAGAUGCGGCGCCGAUAAUGGGCCACUGGAUUGUCAAGGUACGGUGUCCGCGAUUUCACGGGACGGACAGCGAAUGUGGACCACGUCCAUGUCCCAACCAUUCCCAGCGGACAUGAAGUGAUAUUACUAUUAAUUAAUUUCAAGAGACCUUCACGUACGAAAUCCGACCAACUCCAUCAGAUUCCUGCCACGUUGCAGUGUUACGUGGAGUUUUCACUGUUUUGCGCUUGCAGGAGAGUUCCCAUCAUAGUGAUUAGUGAAUGCUUCAAUAAACAAAUUUCUGCCACGUUGCAGUGUUACGUUCAAACUUCUCGAUUUGCCGUUUCUGCGUCGGGAGGAAAAAACUUGAAACAUUCAAACUAUCGUUGAUUUUUUGUUAUUUUUAAUUAAUAAUGAAUUGACAUAUAAUUGAUAUAUUUUAGCCGAUAAAUGUAGAAACUCGACUUUAAUUUUUUUAGUAUUAGAACGUCUUUUCAAAUAAAUUUUUGUUAUUUAUUUAAAAAGUCAUAUUAAUAUUAUUUAAGACUUUAAAAGAUAUUUUAAUUAAAAAAUUUUAAAUAAAAAAUAAGUAUUUCUCUUUAAUUUUGUAGGAUAACUUUCUCGCUUUUCAAUUUAUAUUUUAUUAAAAAGACAAGUAUUUUAAUUAUUAUUUAAUUUUUUUUGAAAAAAAUAUUUAUUUAAUUAAAUUAUUUCUUUUUAAAUAAUUUAUUAAAGAAUAAUAUAUAUUUUUUACUCUCUUUUUUAUUAGAUAAAUAAAUAAAUAAAUAUUUAAAUAAUUAAAUUAAUAGAGUUUUUUUUUUAAAUACUCUUUGGCCAUUAGGAGUUGGGUUUAUUUGAUUUAUAUCACCAAGGUGCCAGAGUUUUCUUUUCUUUUCUUUUCUUUUUUAAUGAUUACAAUUUUCAUACUCCCACUAAUUACUUGAGAAAAGAUAUAUUUAAAUUUUGAUGGGAACUCAGAACUGUGCCCCACAAAAUUGAAGACACAAGCUACCACCGAACCAAAAUCGUAGCAGCGAAGAAAUUCAUUGGAACAGAAAGACGAAAAUAUUUGGACGGUCGACAUUGCAUUUAUUAUUAUUAAUAAGCAGGUGGGAGAGAGUGACAUUGACACGAUAAUCAAUAUGGUACACUAAUGCAUUUCAAUCCUGAUAAGAAGAUGCCCUAUAGCUAUAUUGUCUCCUUAGGCAGUAAAUACCACAAGAUAUAAACAUAAUGUUUUUUUUUUCCUUUAAUUACUGAAAUGAAUGAAUGAUUUGUUUUUAUCAUUUAAAUAUUUUUCUUUGAUUUUUACCUGAAAUAGACGGAGGAGGCAAAUAAUUAUUGAAGAAUUGCCUCUACCCAAUUCUGCUCUAUUGAUGACCUAGCUACCUAAAAAACGAGUGUGCCCCAUGUGUAAUCUUAAUUUAUGUCAAAAUUGUCACGUGGCGUUUUAUUUCCAUGCAAUGGCAUUCAAAUUCUGAUGCCGAAAUUUUCGACUGCCCAUUUCCCGUUGCUUCUUUUACAGUCCUACACAAAUUUCUCAUGGAGUUCACUCAUGGUUAGAAAUGUACUUUGACAAUACGGGCUUGAUUCCAGCUCCUUAAAUCACAUCUUCAUCAAUUGAGAUCUCAAUUAUGAGUUCAAAGUAAUGGACCCACCAAAGGAUAAGCGGAUGGUCCAAAAAUUUCAGAUGACAUAUUCAAUCUAGCUAGUAAGUUAAAUUAUAAAUUUGCUCCCGUUGGAAUUAAUUAAAUACAACAAAUUCAAGUUAAAAAUUUAUUUUAAAGUCAGAAACCGUUCUCAUUCAUUAAUAAUUUAUUAGUCUAGUUGCAUAAUUAGUGUUUAGUAACUAGAUGGCAAAAAUCCAAUUGAAUCUAUUAAAUCGAACCUUCAAAUCUAAUUUCAAAUUCGAUCGGAUUUAGUCAAACUAAAACUAUAUAUAUGUCAUUCAAUCUUUACGAUUUGACUACUUUCUCUUAAAACUUUAAAUUCUCAAGACAUGUAAAGAGAAAUACUAAUUUUAAACUUAUAAAAGCAGUGAAGCAAGGUUGUAAAAUUCUUCAUUCGGUCAGUCACAAAUUUUGCUUCCACCGAUAUGAUUUUUUGGCUACACCACUGUGAGUUUGACCAUGAAUUAAUUAAUGCUCCAUUUUGUUUUAGGUUUUUGACGGUUAAUAUCACAAAGCCAAGCUAUCAAAAUUCUGACGAACACCUGCAGUUUGACUUUGACAAUAUAAAUAGUUUAUUCUCCGCAACUAUUUAUUAUAUAAACAAUAAUUUCUGAAAAUAUAAAUAAGGGCAAUGAUAUUUUGGAAAAAAAAAGAAGAAAUAUAUUCUGAUAAAAACAACGUUAAACACAGUAAAUCGGUAAUAAUUAAACAUUAUUUUUAUCAACUCUUUAUCUCUUUAACAUUUUCAAUAGUUUUCACUUGAGAACUAGUGAUGUUUACCGACUACCCAUCGCAUUUUCCUCGACAUCUAAUACUUCCAUUCCACGUGCCACGAUCCCACAACAGUACUGUAAUAGCAAAUGCCAAAUGGAGCCAAAAUCUUGGUCCCAUCGGCUAGUCUCUCUAUUCGGUCCUCAAAUUCCUACUUUUGCAUGUGCAUGCGCUUGAAUAUUUAAUGAGUAAUGUAAUGUAGGCAUAUUUUUUUGCAAUCGGUGUAGUCUACGUAAACCCGUCAACAUCCCAUCACAUGAUCACUGGAAUAUGUGCAUCAUAUUUUUAGAUUUUUUUUUUCCUUUUGCCGCUUAUUAUUUUUCCUUUUUCCUGAGAAAUAAUAAAUAAGAAUUACAGGGUCAUGCAAACGUAUGUCGAAUUCCUUUUUCAUUAAUCAAUAAUAGCUUCCAACUUCGACGAUGCGAGGAUCAACUUGUAGUCCAGUAAAACUAUCGAAACUCAAACGCACAUCGAGGGCGUAGUACGAAAGAACAAACCAUCGGAUCAUUAAUUAAAUUUUCUCAACUAACAACCAACCCCGAACUCACUUUCUCCUUCCCUCUUUCUUGUUCGCGUUGUUCAAAAAUUCUAUAUAAACCCUAACCCUGCCCGCAGUUUCACUCACUCAAGCUUGUAAACAGAACCUGAUAACUAGCUAUAACCAAGCAAAAGCCUCCCUGAAGAAUCCUCAUGGCUGCUCUUAAGCUUGUUUGUGCUUUGCUUUUGUGCAUUCUGGUGACUGCCCCAAUGACUAAUGCCAUAACAUGCGGGCAGGUGACAGGCUCCUUAGCUGCAUGCAUCCCUUACUUGAGAACUGGAGGGCGUGCUCCGCCACCGCCAUGCUGUAACGGCGUCAGGUCUCUCAACAGCGCCGCCAGAACCACCCGUGACCGCCAAGCUGCAUGCAACUGCUUGAAACAAGCUUACGGAACAAUCCGCGGCAUCAACCCUAAUGUUGCCGCUGGCCUUCCUCGUCAAUGUGGAGUCAACAUUCCUUACAAGAUCAGCCCCGCCACUGACUGCUCUAGGUAUGUUAAUCAAUUACUCCACCCUCUUUAAUUCUUUUUGUUUUUAUUUAUUUUUUCAAUUUUCUGAUUGUUAAUUAUGUAAUUCUUAAUUAGAAUUUUGUUUUUCAUGUUUCUGUGAUGCAGGGUCAGGUGAAGUUGAGUUUGAGCUCUGUGACUUUCCAAGUAUGAUUGACUGAGAAGAAUAAAUAAAUAAAGAAUAUCUAUGUUAAUUUCUUUGUCCGAACGAGUCUCCACUUGUGUGAGUCUCACUCUCAUGUCAUGUUUGUAUCUUUGCUUUUAAUAUCAUAUUAAAUAUGUAAACGUGAUCUGUGUUUUGAGUGAUUAAUUCUAGUUAUUUUGUGGUAUUAUCUUAAAAAUUCUCCCUUAUUUUAUGUCCCUCUCUAUCAUUUUGAAUCAUGAGAGAAUCUCAAACCAUUGUUUGUUAUGUUCUAAAGUCAUGGAGACAGUGCCACCAAUUCCUCAUCAUACUACAAAGACAAUUCCAAUUCCAAAUCUAAUUAUUACAAAGACAGUUCCCAAUCCUCUAAUUCAAGCUAACACAAUAUCUAUAUAGACAAGAAAUAGAAAUUGACAAAAGGGUUCUAACAGUUUUUAAUCCUAAGUAUUGACCGAGAAAUAAAUAAAUAAAUAAAUAAAUAUGUUAAUUUCUUUGUCCGAAUGAAUCUCUACUUGUGCGAGUCUCACUCUCAUGUCAUGCUGUAUCUUUGCUUUUUAUGUCAUAUUAAAUAUGUAAUCGUGAUCUGUGUUUUGAGUAAUGAAUUAUAAUUAUUUUGUGGUAUUAUAUUAUAAAUUCUCUCUUAUUUUAUGUUGACGACAUCUCUAUAUCAUUUUACAUCAUCAGAGAAUCUCGAUUCAAUAAGCAUUAUGUUCUAAAGUCAUGGAGAGUGUACCGUAAUUCCUAAUCAUACUGCAAAAACAAUUCCUAUUCCAAAUCUAAUUAUUAUAAAGAAAAUUCCUAAUUACCAGCAAGCGCGUACAUCAGCUGUUAUGAGACUGUUCUAACUUAACCAAAAUCAUCGAUUCAAGGUUUAAGAAUGCAGCUGCGUUAAAUACUUGUUGGGAGAGCUUUGCCGCCCUAGUAGUCCUACCCGACUUGAAUCUAGAUUAGUUGAGACCUAAUGUGAUUUUCGGAUACCAGAUGAUUUAAUAUACAAAAAAAAAAAGACAAUUCCCAAUCCUCUAAUUCAAGCUAACACAAUAUCUAAUUCCUAUAUAUAUAUAGACAAAAAAUAGGAAUUAACAAAAUGGUUCUAACAGUUUUUAAUCCUACAGUAUUGAUCGGUAAAAUGUACUUUUAUCAAAAUACUAAUUAGCUGAAGAAUUGUUGUUAGUCGAGGUUAGAUUAUCUCAUUGACAAAUGUAAUAUUACACAAUUAAUAAUAAAAAAAGUGAAAAUAAAAACCUUCAAAGUAGUUUGAGACACUAUAAUUAAUUCAUAACAAACCAAUUGGUAUAGGUGCGUGUGAUUGCAUUCGCCGGUAGGGUGGAGCCGUGGAGGGCCCUUAGGAUGGACUUUGAUCUCUAUUUUGUAAUGGGGAAAAUCGAAAAAAAAAAAAAUCAUGAAGUUGCAAUCUAAAAUUAUACUCAAGCCCCCCAAUAAUUUUCAUUUACUCCCCAGUAAAUCACACUCAAGUCCCAAUUCCAAUUGCUUAUGGUUAUAUAAUUAUAAUUAAAAGAAGCGAGCCCUUAAAUAUUAAAGUAGAUUUUGAUUUUUUUAAAUGAUCCACAAAUCUGUGAUACAACAGAGCAUCGCUUUAACAAUAGCUUUUAGCUAAUUAAUUUUUCAUUUUUUUCAUUUUCGACAGUUUCGACUUUCGAGCCUGUCGGCAGGAUUGUGAUUAAGGCCCAGCCCGGCCUUCGAACAAAAAGUACAGAGCCCGGCCCGGAGCUUGGACAUCAAAAUAAAAAAUUUAGUAUUUUCUUUGUGGUACAUACUUUAGUUAGUUACUAUAUACACCGGCCCAAAAAUUUGAUUAUUCCUUUAAACCUAGCCCAACUGCUCAUUCAUUGUGAAAUUAUAUGCACUUGUACUAUUAGGAGCCCAUUAACAAAAUUAUUUGUUACUAGUUGGUACCUUAAGUUAAUUUCUAUAAAUUAUUUAUUUCUAAUUUUUCUCCUUAAGUGUCAUAAUUUCUAUCUAGAAAAGCUUAAAUCAGUAACACUAAGACAUGUUAUAAAGUGACCAAAAAAAAACAUUAAUUUUAAUAGCAUAGACAUGCGGCCCUGGGCCUGCCCGCGAGCCCAAUCGCUGGGUGUGCAAAAGGAACGCCCGACCCGAACUUGUACUAUCCCUAAAUUAAAUCACAAGCGACAAACUACUACAUUUUCUAUUUUCUUUUGCUUGUAUUUUGUUCACGACCCGAUCUUGUACUAUCCCUAAAUUAAAUCACAAGUGACAAACUACUACAUUUUCGAUUCUCUUUUUACUUGUAUUUAGUUCACUAAUAUUUGCCACUCGGCCAAAUAAGUGAGGGCAGCUGUUUGACCCCAUAAACACAUUAUUGGAGAUUUAUUCCUUCCUCUGUUAUUAAUAAUUGAGUGGAGUGAAUAUUUUUUAAAUAUUAGUGAUGAUAAAAUUAUAGACGGUGUUUUAUAAGAAUUGAUAUAAAUUAAUUUCAAUAAUAAUUUAAUUUAUAAAUAUCAAUUGUAGUCUCAUAUAAUAUGAGUUGUAAUAUUGAAAAAUAAUCUCAUAUAAUAAAAAAUAUUUACUAAUAUUUAGUUUUACAUAUAUGUAAUUAUGUAUAUACAGAUUUAAUGUGUGAAAAUUUAUUUGAUUGUACCGAUGCAAUUAAUAAUAUUUCAUUUCAUUUCAAUAUAGUAACCUACACAAAUACUGGGAUGGUUGAGAUUAGAAGGCAAUUUUUCGGAGAAAUGUUUAAUUUAAAUGUGUAUAUUUAAUGUUUUUCAAGCAAUUUAUUUUAUUUUAAUAAAAGGGGGCAAUCAAAAAGCCAUCCAUAUCAAUGUUCUUCGGCCUCAGCCUCGGCCAGUUAGGCACCAAAUGUUGACAGAGUCCCAUUCUGUUCCCAUGCUCAGGCACAGCGAAUUAUUACAAUUAAUUUGACGAGACUUUUACGUACGAGAUCUGACAACUCCAUCAGACUGCUGCCAAGUGUCCACAUGCUUGCACCUGUUAAAAUCUCUCAUCUCCGUCGGUGGCUGCCUCGGAUUCUGUGCUUCUUCUCUCCAAACUUCAGAGACGUGCUUAUUCAAGGCAAAUGCUAUGUUACAAUUAAUGUAACAUACACACUCAACAACAACCACAUAAAUUAUGUGGGUUUAUCAUUUGUGUGGUUGUUGUUGAGUGUGUAUGUUACAUUAAUUGUAACAUAGGGACUCCCGCUUAUUCAAAACAUUGAACCGAAAGUUAAUUAAAGUUACAGCAUGUGCGGUAAGAAAUGAACAUGGUUGUUGUUUUUUUAUUAUUAAAUAAAUAAUUUGUGAGAGAUCCAUUUUUUUGGGGUUAAUAUAUAAUUGUUAAAAAUAAAACAUACAAUUAAAUAAAAAUAAAGGUGCCACAAAACUACGGGCCAUGGAAAUUGCAAUAAAGAAAAUAAUUAAUUUUCCUCUCUCUCCCCUUUUUUUGCCUGAGAGGAAGAGGCAAUUCUUAUUUCUUAAUAUUCUUUUCUGAUUUUUUUCCAACGUAGGAGCAGCAAAAAUUACAAAUUAAUUUUUUAAUUUCUAUCGAAUUAACACAACUAUGCUAUGAUAUUAUAAAGACACGUGUAUGCCCCUCGUAAAAUUUUGUUCAAGUCAUAAAUUUGUGAGGUAGCACAUUUAUGAUCCGGCAAUUACAUGCAGUCUGCCGAAAACUUAGCUGUGCAUGUUCCGUCCCAUCCUUCUACAGUUUCUCCUCGCAAUUUUAAAAGCAAGUCUGCACACGGAAUUAACUCUUGGUUAAAAAUUCAAAAGGAACAUGUAUAGUUACUGUACUAACAAUAAAAUUUUAACAAAUUUCAAUUUUAAUUUUUGAGCUAUUUUCUAGAAUAAAUUCAGCUCGCGAAUUAUUUUACAUGAUAUUCGAGUUAAACUCACUAUUCUUUUUACCUAGCAAGAACCAGACUAAAGAAAUAUUCAACAUUAGUUGAGAUAAAUUAUCAAGCUAAAAAUAUAAAUUUGAAACUCUCAGCUAAUUAGUUUAAUUAUGAGUUGAGCUCAUGAGUAUCUACUAAAAUGGCGCUCUCAAAUUAAGCCGAAGAGUUGGAUCAUUUAAUUUUCAUCUAUGUCCUUAUCCAUUACCUAAUCUUUACUCGAUAGUGAGACUCGUGUGGAAUGUUCUAUAUGAAAAUAUGCAAUAAAUAAUCAUAUCAUAUAUUCGAAGUUUAUUUUUCGUUCUUACCUUUGUGAUGGUUAAUUAUUUCUAAAAGAAUGUGUGUGUGUGUGCGCGUGCGUGUGUGAAGAGAUAUUAUUGACUGAAUAUAAAUUUAUCUGUCUCCUUCGAAAAUAUUUCUAACUUUGCAUGCUGCCCCGUGAUUUGAUUGAAUAUUCAUGAAGGACAAAAAAAUUAUCUUAUGUUAAUAUUGUAAUUUCAGUUCUUGAAGGAAGAUAAACUUGUUCAUAAUAUUGCAAACAAAAGACAUUCUUUGCUUUCGCUAUAGUGUAUACGUAAACCAGUCGGCUCCGACUCCCCCCAUCACAUGAUUUUUGGACUAUAUGUUUAUGAAAUCAAACCUGGAUACUAUAUGAAUUUUCAUCUGCCUUCUUUUUAACAUGCAUUUUCUUAGAAAAGAAUAACACAAAUUGUAGGCACAUUCAUGCGUAUCUAAUUCCCAUUUUAAUUAAUGGCUUUCAACGUCCAGGAUGUGACGAUCAAAAAGUCCAAAAAUGUCGUUGAAAAUCGCACCGGUCGAAAAGGAAAGAGAAAGGCAUCAAAUGCAAUAUUGAAUUAUUUCAACAACCAACUAACCAGUACAGUAGUCUCUCUUUAAAGCUUCUAUAUAAACACUAGCCCUUAACACACUUUCACUCACUCAACUCAAGCUUCUGAACACAGCUAGCCAUAAACAAAGGCAAAAAAAAAAAAAAGAAAAAGAAAAUCUCAGGAGAAAUCUCAAAUGGCUGCCCUCAAGCUUGUUUCAGCUUUGGUUCUGUGCAUGUUGGUGACUGGUCCCCUGAGUGCUCAGGCCAUAACAUGUGGGCAGGUGAGUGGCUCAUUGGCACCAUGCAUCGGUUUCUUGAGAUCGGGCGGCCCUAUACCUAUGCCAUGCUGCAACGGCGUCAGGUCUCUCAACGCUGCCGCCAGAACCACACCUGACCGCCAAACUGCAUGCAACUGCUUGAAGCAAGCCGCCAGAUCAAUCCCUAGCCUCAACCUUAAUAAUGCUGCUGGUCUUCCAGGAGCUUGUGGAGUCAGCAUUCCUUACAAGAUCAGCACCUCCACUGACUGCUCUAAGU
rnacentral:lncRNA from 1 species